CUUAAAUGUAUGAAAUUCUGAAUUAGGAACUCUUUAUUACUGAGUAUAGGGCACACUUUUUUAUUUCACAGAAUCUGUGAAAAAGUCACUUUCCACCUUAUAAAGACAUGUUAUCAUCAUCACAUUGAGAAAACUAUCCAAGUCAGUGGGUGAACUGCAGAAAAACCAGUUUUGUAUGUAUCAGCACUGCAGGCAUUGAUAAGCUGUUGUUUACUGUGGCCUUGACAACAGCAGUUGUUCUGAAGAAGUUCUCUGACUUGGCUAGUCAGGAGAAAAUGAAAAUUUCUUGUUCAGCUGUAACACAAUCUAGGUAAAUGCUUACAAGAAAUGGAUGAGCGACACUGGUGGAUUGCAACUAAGUUGCAGGAAACGUUCCAGAUUGAGGAAAAAGACAACACUACACACCUGGAGGAGUUCUUCCUGAAGCCUGAUAAUCUGGAACUGGUCAAUGCUUUCUUAACAGGCGAAGGGCUCUCCAAGCUGUUUUUCUACAUAGAUCUCAACAGCCAAGAGGGAAGAUUACAGUUGUGUGACGUGAAAAUUGGAGAAAACCUGGAAAAUGACAUUGAUCUUAAGCACACUCUCAUUUUGUACUUCCUCCGACAUAAGGCGAGUUUUUGUUUUUGUUUCACGUAAACCAAUAUAAAGUAAAUAUUACUGUUUUUCUGACA
rnacentral:lncRNA from 1 species